GUAUGGAAACUUACUAAGUGAUAACUUUCAAAUUCAGGGAAACCCCGGAAUUCAAAAAAAUGGGCAAUCCUGAGCCAAAUCCUGUUUUCUCAAAACAAAAGAAAGGUUCAGAAAACGAAAAAAAAAAAGGAUAGGUCCAGAGACUCAAAGGAAGCUUUUCUAACAAAUGGGGGCACUUAUAGAGGAAAAAACGUCAGAAAGGAUCAARAAAAAACCUAUCUUUUGAARAGUAUAUCAAAAAAAUGAUUAAUGAUGGCCCGAAYCUCUARAUGUUUUUUGAUAUGCAAAAAAAAAAAAGAAGAAUUGAUGUGAAUUCAUCCGACAUUGACGAAAAAAUAGAAUUUUGAUUCAUCAAAUCAUUCACUCCAUAGUCUGAUAAACUUUUUAAAGAAUUGAUCAAUCGGACAAGAAUAAAGAUAGAGUCCCCUUCUACAUGUCAAUACCGGCAACAAUGAAAUUUAUAGUAAGAGGAAAAUCCGUUGACUUUAAAAUCGUGAGGGUUCAAGUCCCUCUAUCCCCAAACAAACUAUUUGACUCCCAAAUCGUUAUCCUACCCUAUCCCUUUGGGUUACAAAUUGCUUUUUUUUAUGAUUCUUUGAUAUUUGAUAAAAGGUUGGGUGUAAAUGACUUUAUCUUCUCCCAUUUGAUAUAGAAUACACAUCCAAAAAAGCAAAGAAUCCCGAUUUAAAUGAUUAACAAUCAAUAGCUUUACGAAUACUGAAACUUAGAAAGUGGUCUUUUUGAAGAUCAAAGAAAUUGAAAGGAGAAAAAUUUGUAAUCCCCCCUUUCCCUGUAAUUGACAUAGACCCCGGUCAUCGACUAAAAUAAGAAAAUGCGUAUGGGUGACUACGCUGACAAUGGUCGGGAUAGCUCAGUU
rnacentral:misc_RNA from 1 species